rnacentral:rRNA from 1 species
UGGCCAUACUACCCUGAACGCACUCAGUCUCAUCUGAUCUCGGAUGCUAAGUGGGGUUGGGCCUGGUUAGUACUUGGAUGGGAAGAAUUCAGUUAGAUAAUAAAA